ACGGACUCUCUUUUGGAAUGUCUCUUCUCGACCACACUCGGAGCUGCUUCUGCUUGGACCAGGAUUGGUCGUCAACGAUCCAUUCGAUUCACGGACUCGAGAUCGUUUAGAUACGUAAAGCUAUACUCGUCAAAGUCAGAGCUCGGGACUCGUAACUUAGAAUUACGUAACCGCAACUUGUACCUGUAUCUUAGACCUUGGGCCUGGACCGCAUGGACCAUGAGCCAUGAGCCAUAUACAUUGUAUCGAUAUUGACGAGACGUCUCGACGAUCCGUUCAACGUUAGAGGAACUGGUUAACGGUGCAACGAGUAAGAUACAUAUUUUUUUCACAUUUUGCUGUUAAUUAAAAUGACAAAAGAAAAUAAAAAAAUUACAAUCUUUUCAA